rnacentral:piRNA from 1 species
UGAUGUACUCGGAACUUCAGA